rnacentral:rRNA from 1 species
GGGCCCGCACAAGCGGUGGAGCAUGUGGUUUAAUUCGAUGAUACGCGAGGAACCUUACCAGGGCUUAAAUGUAAGUUGCAUAAGUUAGAGAUAGCUUUUUCUUCGGACUACGUACAAGGUGCUGCAUGGUUGUCGUCAGCUCGUGCCGUGAGGUGUCAGGUUAAGUCCUAUAACGAGCGCAACCCCUGUCGUUAGUUACCAGCAAGUAAUGUUGGGUACUCUAGCGAGACUGCCGGUGCAAACCGCGAGGAAGGUGGGGAUGACGUCAAAUCAUCACGGCCCUUACGUCCUGGGCCACACACGUGUUACAAUGGCCGGUACAGAGAGCAGCCACUACGCGAGUAGGAGCGAAUCUUCAAAACCGGUCUCAGUUCGGAUCGCAGUCUGCAACUCGACUGCGUGAAGCUGGAAUCGCUAGUAAUCG